rnacentral:rRNA from 1 species
UACGUAGGGGGCAAGCGUUGUCCGGAUUUAUUGGGCGUAAAGAGCGUGUAGGCGGCUAGGUAGGUCCGUUGUGAAAACUCGAGGCUUAACCUCGAGAUGUCAUCGGAAACCAUCUGGCUAGAGUCCGGAAGAGGAGAGUGGAAUUCCUGGUGUAGCGGUGAAAUGCGCAGAUAUCAGGAAGAACACCAAUGGCGAAAGCAGCUCUCUGGGACGGUACUGACGCUGAGACGCGAAAGCGUGGGGAGCGAACAGG